rnacentral:rRNA from 1 species
UACGUAGGGUGCGAGCGUUAAUCGGAAUUACUGGGCGUAAAGCGUGCGUAGGCGGUUUUGUAAGCCAGAUGUGAAAUCCCCGGGCUUAACCUGGGAAUGGCAUUUGGGACUGCAAGGCUGGAGUGUGGCAGAGGAGACUGGAAUUCCUGGUGUAGCAGUGAAAUGCGUAGAUAUCAGGAGGAAUACCGAUGGCGAAGGCAGGUCUCUGGGCUGACACUGACGCUCAUGCACGAAAGCGUGGGGAGCAAACAGG